UUUUCGUUUUCGUAUCUGACAUCGUAGUUCAGUUGUCUUUGAAUUUUAAGAAAAUGCGCGGUAAAAAUGCUGCGUUCUGUACUAUAUUGCUAUCGUUUAUAAACCUUAUCAUAAUUUUAUUGGGCAUUGCUGUGUUUCGAGCUUUAAUUUUGCAUGAAGAUGAAAUAUUAGACAUUUGCAAUUCUGGCGAUGUGGAUUAUAUUCCAGAUAACAGAGGAAUUUCAGGGCGAUUUUCUGAAGCUUUAAAGUUUCAAACAAUAAAUUAUGGUUUUCACAAUUACAAUCGAGAUGCCUUGUCAAAUUUUAUUUCUUUUCUCACAAUAAGUUUUCCAUUUGUGCAUUCAUCACCACUAGUUUCAAGAGAAGUUGUUAAUAAUCUCAGUUUACUAUACUAUGUUCAAGGCAGCAAUAAAAAACUGAAACCCUAUUUAUUAUCUGGACAUUUAGAUGUUGUACCUGUCGAAGAAUCACAGUGGGAAGUACCUCCUUUCAGUGGCUUAAUCAAGGAUGGUUAUAUAUGGGGUAGAGGUUCAAUAGAUUGCAAACAUAUAGUAAUGGGCAUUUUAGAGGCUCUGGAGUUUUUAUUAGAAAAGGGUUAUCAGCCUCAAAGAUCAUUUUAUAUUGCUUUUGGGCAUGAUGAAGAGAGUAAUGGAAUGGAUGGUGCUCAGCAAAUUAGCAGUGUUCUAAAAUCCAGGAAUGUUGAAUUGGAAUAUAUAUUAGAUGAAGGAACUUUCGUACUGGAUAGUUUUAUUCCUGGAAUAAAAUCUCCUGUUGCAUUUCUGAGUGUGUCAGAAAAAGGCAGUUUAAAUUUGGAAGUAAAAGUGAAAACUGUUGCUGGCCAUUCUUCAACACCACCCAGAGAAACAGCAAUAGUUAUUUUAGCAAAGGCUCUCUCAAAAUUGGAAGGUGAUGUGUUCCUCAGCAUGUUUGGUAAAGGUCCAGAACAACAAAUGUUUGAGAAACUUGCUUAUUGUGCAUCUUUUCCAUUUAAAGUUAUUUUUGGAAAUAUCUGGCUUUUUAAACCUUUUAUUAUGCUAUAUAUGAGAAAUCCAGUUAUGAGUGCUUUACAAAGAACUACAACUGCUGUCACAACAGUUACAGGUGGUACUAAGGUGCUUGAUACAUCACCACCACUUAUUGUCCAACUAUGGUGAUAUAACAGACCUAGCUGACAGCCCUAGCUAAUAUAUUCAUUUUGCAUAACACAAGUAGCCAUUCUGCUAAGUUAAAUGUUUUGCCAAGUUCAGCAUCAGCUCAAGUAAAUCUCAGGG
rnacentral:misc_RNA from 1 species